AGAAUUGACGGGACCGCACAAGCGGUGGAUGAUGUGGAUUAAUUCGAUGCAACGCGAAAACCUUACCUACCCUUGACAUGUCUGGAACCUUGGUGAGAGCCGAGGGUGCCUUCGGGAGCCAGAACACAGGUGCUGCAUGGCUGUCGUCAGCUCGUGUCGUGAGAUGUUGGGUUAAGUCCCGCAACGAGCGCAACCCUUAUCAUUAGUUGCUACGCAAGGGCACUCUAAUGAGACUGCCGGUGACAAACCGGAGGAAGGUGGGGAUGACGUCAAGUCCUCAUGGCCCUUAUGGGUAGGGCUUCACACGUCAUACAAUGGUCGGUACAGAGGGUUGCCAAGCCGCGAGGCGGAGCCAAUCCCACAAAGCCGAUCGUAGUCCGGAUUGUUCUCUGCAACUCGAGAGCAUGAAGUCGGAAUCGCUAGUAAUCGCAGGUCAGCAUACUGCGGUGAAUACGUUCCCGGGUCUU
rnacentral:rRNA from 1 species